CGGGUGAGUAACGCGUACCCAACCAUGCCCUUGGGAGGGGAACAACAACUGGAAACGGUUGCUAAUACCCCGUAGGCUGAGGAGCAAAAGGAGAAAUCCGCCCAAGGAGGGGCUCGCGUCUGAUUAGCUAGUUGGUGAGGCAAUAGCUUACCAAGGCGAUGAUCAGUAGCUGGUCCGAGAGGAUGAUCAGCCACACUGGGACUGAGACACGGCCCAGACUCCUACGGGAGGCAGCAGUGGGGAAUUUUCCGCAAUGGGCGAAAGCCUGACGGAGCAAUGCCGCGUGGAGGUGGAAGGCCUACGGGUCGUCAACUUCUUUUCUCGGAAAAGAAACAAUGACGGUAUCUGAGGAAUAAGCAUCGGCUAACUCUGUGCCAGCAGCCGCGGUAAU
rnacentral:rRNA from 1 species